ensembl:lncRNA
CUCACAGAUGCACAGGCACGUCUGUAUGAAAUGCUGACUUGUCCAGUAAGAUCUCCCUAGAUGUCAUGGACAGAAAUACACUGGGCCUGUCAAAGUCUAAGCUGCAAGUCUGCACUUUUUUUUUAAGGCUCCAAAGGGGGAAAAAAGAGAGAGAGAGAAGGGAAAACCCACCAGGAGCCUAAAGGAGUCAGAUCUCUCUCUAUACUGCCAGAUCCAGGGUCCGCCUUCGUUCCUAACCUGGGCAGUGUGGAGAAAAUAACAAUACCUUCUUUCAGCAAUGGCGGGCAUCGGCAAGCGAGGGAUUCUGCCGUCCCAGGUUGGAUGGAGACAGCCCUUCCCCCUGCUCCAUUCAUGCAGAUCGGAAAUAAUCUGAUGUCCCAGCUACGAGGACAUCUCGGAGGCAGCAGCUGGGUAGAGGCCCUGCAGAGUGAGACGCAGUCCUCAUUCUAAAGCUCCAGGUCUCCUUGGGAAAUUGUCCAAAACUCCUGAAAAUCUCAGCUCUUUUCUGUUAGUUCUCUCCCCGGAACUAAAGACACCUAAGCUGAAAGGGGACCCCAGGGGAGGCAGGUGGGACUCUGUGACCUACAGGGAAAACGCUUGGGGUGAAGUGAGCGCCCUGACCCCUGCGGAGUCCAGGGCAAAGGAGGCACGCUCUAGCGCUGGUUUUAUUUGUAUUUUUAAAUCAGCAAGGCAAAAGCACUUUCAGCUGAAAAUGCCCCAGAGAUUUUUUUUUUAAAGAGGGGAAUUAUGGAGGGACGAACUCACACACACAGUCCUAGGAAGUUUCCCGCGGGCCAUCCUAGAGAAGCCUGGAGGGAAUCCGCAGGAUGCCCGUCUCCCUGGUACUUUGACUAAAAACAGAUAUUUUCGAAAAAGGAAGGUUAAAAAAAGACAGCGAGCCAGCACACUCCCUUUGGAAGCAAAGUCCCUCUGGGGCCACGGCCGGGACGUCCCCACUGCCAGCUCUCCCCUCCUCUCCCCGUCGGACUCUUAGCCAGUCCCGGACUAGC